rnacentral:rRNA from 1 species
UACGUAGGUGGCAUGCGUUAUCCGGAAUUAUUGGGCGUAAAGCGCGCGUAGGCGGUUUCUUAAGUCUGAUGUGAAAGCCCACGGCUCAACCGUGGAGGGUCAUUGGAAACUGGGAAACCUGAGUGCAGGAGAGGAAAGUGGAAUUCCAUGUGUAGCGGUGAAAUGCGCAGAGAUAUGGAGGAACACCAGUGGCGAAGGCGACUUUCUGGUCUGUAACUGACGCUGAUGUGCGAAAGCGUGGGGAUCAAACAGG